CCCGGCCUGCUCAUUUUCGUUUCCCCCUUUUCGAAAUUUUCAAGUCUUUGAAAACCCUAACCAAAUGAUAACCCCAAAUUAAGCAAACACUAUCGUGUCUAACCAACGCAUUGAUGCAGAUCUACCGCCACAGUCGCGGAUCACCGGAACUGUAACCGUAGUACCACCUAGAACUAUCACCACCGCCUCCAGUCUCCGCCAAGUGACAGCAGCACCAUAACCAUAACUGACCUAGACUAUGGAAUCCCAAAUUCUAUGGACAUAUUAAGGAUUUAAUCAAACCAUUUCAAUAAAUUGGAUACAACAGAUGUGUUGAAGAUGGAUACGGUUGUACCACGGAGAAGAUACAAACACUUGCAUUUUUUGUGGCUUUUAAUUUCUACUAAUACAGGCAUUUGGUAACUUAUUCUUUGCCCCAUUUAGUAUUACUAAUUGAUUAUCUUGCUGAUUUAGGUUACAUUAACCAUUGGGGUUGAUGUCCAAUAGGAGAAGCAAACUAGGAGCAUCAAGUUGGGGAAGUCAUGGGUUCAAGCAGUGGCGGAUCUAAGAAUUUUUUUCACGGGUUCCUUUUGAUCAUGUCUUCACUGGAGGAUAAAUGGAGGGGUGUAAAAUGGUGGGUUCUGCUUGUCAAUUAGUCUGUUAUGACGAUAUCGCGCAAAUGUAGACUCUGUUGAAAGGUUACAUACUUACAUCGGUUGACAAGCAUUCUUUUCGUUUACUCUUCGCUUCUUAAAAUGUAGUUCUUUUUUACGAUUUUAUGCUUAUAUCCAGUGAGUAAAAUUUAAUAUGUGCUUUAUUCGUGUGUGAAUUUUGAAAAGUUGAACUGUAUUAAGUUGUAGAAAAUCGAAUUAAUAAUUUGAUUGGUUUGUCUAGGUACCAAGAAUAAGAGUUGUACAAUCUCAUCAAAGUAGGUUUGUAGUUGUGACUGAGAUAUAACUACUAAAAAUCAGAUGAAUACUGCUAUGAUAUUCUUGCUUCGUGUAUGUAAUUUGAAACGCAAUUUGCUGCCUCACACCUACCCUACUCGAGGACGCAGUGUGCACCAGGGAUGACAAUGUAUGACGAUAUUCGAGAUUAUCUACUUGAAAAUUUACUUAAGAGCGACGCCUUUAAGAAGUAUUUAGUAAUGAAUUAAAUGGAGUGGAGGCACAAAUUGCCUAAGUGUAAGAUAUGCUUUCUACAGAACUCGAAAAGGUUCAUUACUACAAGAACUUAUUAAAAUCUUUUUAUUAUCAUUAACUUGCGCUGACAAACACUUAUUUGUAUUGUUUAGGUAAUAUCUUGUACAAUGUCUUCUCUAUUGGUAUGUUGUUCGUUACUAGUUUCUAGACUUUUUUAUUUGUUUGAUUGUGAUUUUUGUGUUGCAGGUACAUAAGGAAUAUUAUGUUACCGACGUAAUGACGUUUCACAAGAACUCGGAAAGUAUCAUUUCUAUGCCCUUCUACUCCUAUAUACAUAUUUGUUUCUUAAUAGUGGAAGCUGAUAUCAAUUUAGCGUUUAGUUAAUUUGAAGUAUGGAUUAGGUUUUUAGUGUUUUAUUUGAUAAUCAGCUAAAAUGCCAUAGCCUGCAGCUUCUCCAGCUGCAUUUUUGAAGAGGAUCACGAAAGAAAAAAAAUCCAGGUUUUUAGUGUUUUAUUUGAUAAUUAGCUAAAACGCCAUAGCCUGCAGCUUCUCCAGCUGCAUUUUUGAAGAGGAUCCCGAAAGAAAAAAAAUCCAAGCUCGAAAUUAUGCGACAAGAUAUUGACAGCCAACGACAAAAUUUGGAAGCUAUGAUGUGACAGGCUAUAAAACAAUUACUAGUUGGAGGGCGGGAGGAGUAGAAAGCUUUUAUUUCUCUUUAUUAUUGUAAUUGACACUUUAUGUUGACUAUGUAGUUAUUUGAGUCUACACAAACAUGUUAAAAGUACACUUUUUGAUUAUCAAUGAUAUUUGUAUUAUUAUUAUUA